CAUUCCUUCAUUAAAAUUAUCCCUUUAUCCCCCGACUUCUUCAACUAUCAUCAUCAUCUUCGUCUAUCUUCUUGCCCUAUCCUCCCUGAAAACAUUCCACAAUAUCCUGCUUUUAAAGCCAAAAAACAUGGAAAACGAUUGCUCCUUCCCCAUCCGCUUGUGAUGGAUGGCUUCCAUUGAUAUUUGAGGUAGAUGCGCCUUCAACUAGGAUAGAAGACACAGUAAAGAGAGGCAGCAAGCCUACCAGGGGCAUUGCAUGCAUCAUGAUUGCAAAAACAACUUAAAAGGAAAUAGCUGGCCUCUUCAAGGCACUUAACCUGCUCAGAAACCAACAAUAAUCAUCACC
rnacentral:sRNA from 2 species